CUGCUGCUGCAUUUCUACUGUUCAUUUGUAAUUAAAGCCUGACAUUUUAUUUAACUCUCAACCUUUCAUUUCACACAUCACUGACACUUUCGUCCAUUGAAGCCAUAUCUUUUCAUUAAUGAAUAUUUUUCGUCAACUUUUUUGGUAAUUUCUGGAAUGUAGGUUAUUAAUGUAGUUGCUCCAUCUGCCUUCGACAACACAUAUAUCACCGCCCUCCGUCAUGUGCCAGAAAGGAUUUCAUAGAGGUAGGACAGCAUAAUCAUCUGUUCUGUGCAAAUUCGACCAGUGAGAAAUAGAUUUCUCCAGUCAAUCUUGUCCAGAUGCCUUCAAUAUCAGAUCGUGUUACUCUUUUCACUGAGGCCUCCAUGGCAUCAACUGGAUUCCUUUGUCUAAACAAACUCCAGCCUGAAGUUGAUGGUUGUUGGAUAUGCGUCCGGGUUGUUCGUGUCUUCCUCUACACUUAUAACAUUUCUGGCCAUACUUGGUAUGGUUCACUGCAGAAGAUUAGAUCUUUCGACUUUGUCAUAGUCGACCAUCGAGGAGCAAGGAUGCGCACAACUCUAACAACUGAACGCCUUAUCGAUAGGUGGUCGUCUGUCAUUAAAGAAGGGCAUUGUUAUAUGAUGACAAACGUUCAGGCCGUUCUUUAGGGCGACGAGUUCCAUGCAAAAUUGCAAGUCCGCUUUUCAUCCAAGACAGAAAUUGAAGAGUGCUAUCUGCCCCUUCUCAGGGUUUGCUUUCAAUUCAUGAACAUAGCUUCUUUGAAACUAAGCCUCGUGCUUGAAAGGCAAUGCUUUGGUAGAGUCCGUACCCUCUGUAUGUUUAUUUUUUCAGUACUGUAAUUGAAUAUCCCAUUGUGUUGAUCUUUUCUUUACUCCCAGAUGUGUACGGCAAGGUUGUAGAGAUAUCUGACUUGACCAAUGUUUGGCUUGGUGGAGAUCUUACUAAUCAUUUGUCCAUCGUCAUUGAAAGCGUAGAGUAUUGGCAACCUCUGGAGAAUUUUUUGCAUGAUAGUCUCUAUUAUGUGCACACUUUUUAUUUCAUGAAUAACCCCUUCUGUUUAUGUCUAGGCUUGAGAAGAUAACAUGUCUUUUGUAUGGGAAAGCUAUAGUGUUGGCAGCAAGAGACUAUAUCAACUAUACUGGGGUUAUUGAUUUAGUUGUCAUUAUCUUAUAUGUUGUUGAGGAUCUUUGUGCAGGUUAUGUUACAUCAUAUCCAUAUAGUGUUAUAUAAGAUUUAAGUGUUGGGUUUUGUCUAAGUUUUCUUUUUCAUGUUAUGUUAUAGGUAUCCCCAUUGUCACCAAUUUCUCCACUGCCAUGACAAUCAUUUUUGACCUCGACAUGUCUGAAUUUGGUCAAUUAAAGCGAAACCUCCUCUCCACUGCUUUGAGCACUACUAAUUGAGUUGACGCAUGUGUUAAUGUAUUUGCUAUGUGCUAGACCCAAGUUUCUCAUCUCAUUUAGUGCUGUUUGACUCUUUAAUCCAUAGUUUGAUCUGAUGUGUUUUAUUUUACAUGUGAUGGCUAAUGGCUUGUAACUUUACACCCACACUUUAAUGGGGGUGUAUAGUAUAAUCUCUGUGUUAUUAGGAUGAUGCCUAAUUUUGAAGCUGUUCUCCUUUAAUGUUAUUCUAAUAUGACUUCAGUGUCAUAUCCUUUUUUUUCCAUGCAUUACACUUUUCGUCGAUUCCUCUAAAUUUUCUUGCAUUUUAUUUCAUAGAUUUGAAGACUAUUAGUUACACCAUGCCAGACUUUUUUGACAUCUACAUGUGGAGUAGUAAAUUAUUUCUAAUGUGAAAAGCGAACAUGACUCGUAAACUCAAUAGUCUCAGGAAUGUCAAAUAUUCCUAUCCAUCAAAGUUAGAGCAAUACGGUGUUUGAAGGAUAGAACAAAUAAUGUUCUAUGUUAUUUGAUCUUUGUCUUUAGACCCAAAAUGGACCAUAAUCGAUAGUCAGACCCAAAAUGCUCAUAUUAUCAGUGUUUAACAUCCCAUGACUGAAACCAACCCCCUCCUACCUUGCAAUCAAGGAAGCAGUAUGCUGAGCAACCUCCACAGCCUAUGCUGAUAUAAAGUUCCAUUAAAAAAAAGUUAUAAUCACUAAUGAGCAUUUAUUUGAAAGACAAAAGAACUCAAACAAAAACAAAAACAAAAGCUAGGUAGAACAAUCACUGUUCAUAAGAAUAUAUUCUAAUAUCCAAAGAGUGUAUAUGCAACUUCUUUAACUCACAUAUUACACAAUAAUAUGACUGUUAUCUUGGAGGGGCAAUAUAACUGAAGUUGAAGAAAAUGAAUUAAGCUCUAAAACAGAUAAUACAAACCCCUCACAGUUUGUUGCUGUGCAAAUUUGCAUGCCCUUAAGUCUAAUUACAGAGUAUGCCUAUCACUAGAUAUUGAAUAUCAUGCGGGGAGAGAGUAAACAAGAAAGAAAAGCACACACUCAACCAUAAAAUCUCUACAUAAUUACUUAUGAUUGCCACAACAUCACAUAAGCUGAUCUUUCAAAUGCAGUUUGAAAAACCUCAAGUUAAAAUUUUUUUUCAUAUUGUCUUUGUUCAUGUCACCACAUGGUAGUUACAAUGAUAUUUUUCUCUAGGUUUAUUUGUCAUCACGAAAUCAUUAACUCAUCUUCAUAAGCACAGCAUUUGAGUUAAUGUUAGAGCAUCCCUACUCUAUACAAAUCUAUCUCUUCUUUUAUUGUUACAAAAUUCUUUUCCCAAUUGCAUUAAACACUUCGGUAAAUUGACCAAUCCUUACCAGGUAGGCACCAAAAGUAUAAUCUGUGAUAGAAGUUAUUAAAUGCUUCAAUAAUACCUAAUAGUACUUCAGUGUCCUCCUAAUAAUGUGAAACAUGUUAGAUGCAAGAGUGGAAGAGGAGGCAAAUGAUAAUUUUACAGCUUGAUCAGCAUUAAACAGCGUCGCCUCGCCGUUUCUUUACUGUCAUAGCGCCUCCAAUGUAUAGACAAGCAGCUAAUUGCUGUAAAAUCUGCUUCAUCAAUGGGUGGCAAAAGGGAUAUUUUUAUGUCAGCAAUAAGGCCAUCCCAUUUCAUAUUUUCUCCACGUGCAUUUAAGUCAUUCUUGAGUGCCAUAUAAAUGAAGCCUGUUUAGUUGCUGACAUUUGUCAGUUUUGUCCAUUAAUAAGAAGCUGUAAGACGGUGAUUUGUCAGUAUGCAGGUGGUUUAAAGUUGGUGCCAAAUUUGGCGCCCACUUUUCCCUCCCCCACCAAUUGUGAUAAUUUUUAUUUGGAUGAUGUCAUCACCAUUUAAUAAUGUGUUCUUACUGUAUAUUCAAUAGAAUUAGACUAUAAAUUAGAUAUUAGUCUUGCAUAUUUUAUUAAUACACACGUUAUCUAACAUUUAUUUCUUAUAAAAACUUAGGAUCAUUAUGUUCAAACACAUUACGAAAGCAAACGAAUCAAUCCAUCAUGUAUGUUAUAAAUAAGGACAUCUAUUGAAAACAUUUCACUCAUCUAAUGACUUUUUUUCCUUCACUUCAACUGCAUUACAUGUUAUCCUGAUUCUCUUAGCUUCUACAUCCCAAUAUCUAUUAAGAACGAUGGACUAUGAACUAAUCAAAGAUAUUGACUACACGAAGGAGGCAUCAGCUAUUGUUGUUCAUGUUCUUAGUAAGUGGACUCAACUUCACCGUGAUCCUCCCCAUGACUCGGUGUCAAUUGUAAUGAUAUUAAUGGAUGAAGAGUCAUCUAUUAUUGAAGCUGAUAUCGGCAACAAGGCCUUGCAUGAGCAAUUCAAGAAUGAACUAGCUAAAGGAGGAGUUUAUUUCAUCGAGAACUUCACAGUCUCUCGUAACAAGUAGAAUUAUAGGCCAACAAAGCAUCCAUAGAAGCUAACUUUCCAUGUUAAUACAUUCAUUAAACCCUGUGAUGCAGUAAUACCACAAGACCACUUUGACAUUGUCCCAAUUGAGAGGCUCUUGGAUGAUUUAAAUUGCAAAACACUUAAGACAAAUGU